rnacentral:rRNA from 1 species
AGUCGAGCGAACGGACGAGAAGCUUGCUUCUCUGAUGUUAGCGGCGGACGGGUGAGUAACACGUGGAUAACCUACCUAUAAGACUGGGAUAACUUCGGGAAACCGGAGCUAAUACCGGAUAAUGUUUUGAACCGCAUGGUUCAAAAGCGAAAGACGGUCUUGCUGUCACUUAUAGAUGGAUCCGCGCUGCAUUAGCUAGUUGGUAAGGUAACGGCUUACCAAGGCAACGAUGCAUAGCCGACCUGAGAGGGUGAUCGGCCACACUGGAACUGAGACACGGUCCAGACUCCUACGGGAGGCAGCAGUAGGGAAUCUUCCGCAAUGGGCGAAAGCCUGACGGAGCAACGCCGCGUGAGUGAUGAAGGUCUUCGGAUCGUAAAACUCUGUUAUUAGGGAAGAACAUAUGUGUAAGUAACUGUGCACAUCUUGACGGUACCUAAUCAGAAAGCCACGGCUAACUACGUGCCAGCAGCCGCGGUAAUACGUAGGUGGCAAGCGUUAUCCGGAAUUAUUGGGCGUAAAGCGCGCGUAGGCGGUUUUUUAAGUCUGAUGUGAAAGCCCACGGCUCAACCGUGGAGGGUCAUUGGAAACUGGAAAACUUGAGUGCAGAAGAGGAAAGUGGAAUUCCAUGUGUAGCGGUGAAAUGCGCAGAGAUAUGGAGGAACACCAGUGGCGAAGGCG